GGCCAUUUUUUUUAAGGUGGGGGAACAGUUGGAACGACUGCUAAUACCGCAUAAUGUCUACGGACCAAAGGGUGCCUUCGGCUCUCGCCUUUAGAUUGGCCCAAGUGGGAUUAGCUAGUUGGUGAGGUAAUGGCUCACCAAGGCGACGAUCCCUAGCUGGUUUGAGAGGAUGAUCAGCCACACUGGGACUGAGACACGGCCCAGACUCCUACGGGAGGCAGCAGUGGGGAAUAUUGCACAAUGGGCGCAAGCCUGAUGCAGCCAUGCCGCGUGUGUGAAGAAGGCCUUCGGGUUGUAAAGCACUUUCAGUCAGGAGGAAAGGUUAGUAGUUAAUACCUGCUAGCUGUGACGUUACUGACAGAAGAAGCACCGGCUAACUCCGUGCCAGCAGCCGCGGUAAUACGGAGGGUGCGAGCGUUAAUCGGAAUUACUGGGCGUAAAGCGUACGCAGGCGGUUUGUUAAGCGAGAUGUGAAAGCCCCGGGCUCAACCUGGGAACUGCAUUUCGAACUGGCAAACUAGAGUGUGAUAGAGGGUGGUAGAAUUUCAGGUGUAGCGGUGAAAUGCGUAGAGAUCUGAAGGAAUACCGAUGGCGAAGGCAGCCACCUGGGUCAACAUUGACGCUCAUGUACGAAAGCGUGGGGAGCAAACGGGAUUAGAUACCCCGGUAGUCCACGCCGUAAACGAUGUCUACUAGAAGCUCGGAGCCUCGGUUCUGUUUUUCAAAGCUAACGCAUUAAGUAGACCGCCCUGGGGAGUACGGCCGCAAGGUUAAAACUCAAAUGAAUUGACGGGGGCCCGCCACAAGCGGUGGAGCAUGGUGGUUUAAUUUCGAUGCAACGCGAAGAACCUUACCCUAACACUUGGACAUACAGAGAAACUUACCAGAAGAAUGGGUUUGGUGCCUUCGGAACUCUGAAUACAAGGUGCUGCAAUGGGCUGUCGUCAGCUCGUGUUGGUGGAGAUGUUGGGUUAAGUUCCCGCAACGGAAGCGCAACCCCUUAUUCCUUUAAGUUGCUAGCAAGGUUAAUUGGCUGAAGAAAACUCUCUAAAGAGAGAACUGGC
rnacentral:rRNA from 1 species